rnacentral:rRNA from 1 species
GGUAAGGUCUCUUCGGAGAUACACGAGUGGCGCACGGGUGCGUAACGCGUAUGCAACCUACCUUUAACUGGGAAAUAGCCCCGAGAAAUCGGGAUUAAUGUCCCAUAUUAUUCUCUGAAGGCAUUUUCGGGGAAUGAAAGCUCCGGCGGUUAUUGAUGGGCAUGCGUGACAUUAGCUAGUUGGUGAGGUAACGGCUCACCAAGGCAACGAUGUCUAGGGGUCCUGAGAGGGUUAACCCCCACACUGGUACUGAGACACGGACCAGACUCCUACGGGAGGCAGCAGUAAGGAAUAUUGGGCAAUGGACGCAAGUCUGACCCAGCCAUGCCGCGUGAAGGAUGAAUGUCCUAUGGAUUGUAAACUUCUUUUAUGCAGGAAAAACAUCCCGGUCGUGAACCGGGACUGAUGGUACUGUAUGAAUAAGCAUCGGCUAACUCCGUGCCAGCAGCCGCGGUAAUACGGAGGAUGCAAGCGUUAUCCCGGAUUCAUUGGGUUUAAAGGGUGCGCAGGCGGAAUGAUAAGUCAGUGGUGAAAUCUCCCGGCUCAACCGGUAAACUGCCAUUGAUACUGUCGUUCUUGAGUACAGUUGAAGUGGGCGGAAUGUGUCAUGUAGCGGUGAAAUGCUUAGAUAUGACACAGAACACCGAUAGCGAAGGCAGCUCACUAAGCUGUAACUGACGCUCAUGCACGAAAGCGUGGGGAUCAAACAGGAUUAGAUACCCUGGUAGUCCACGCUGUAAACGAUGAUCACUCGUUGUUGGCGAUAUACUGUCAGCGACUGAGCGAAAGCAUUAAGUGAUCCACCUGGGGAGUACGGCGGCAACGUUGAAACUCAAAGGAAUUGACGGGGGCCCGCACAAGCGGAGGAGCAUGUGGUUUAAUUCGAUGAUACGCGAGGAACCUUACCUGGGCUUAAAUGCAGGACGACGUUUCGUGAAAGCGGAAUUUCCUUCGGGACGUCUUGCAAGGUGCUGCAUGGUUGUCGUCAGCUCGUGCCGUGAGGUGUCGGGUUAAGUCCCAUAACGAGCGCAACCCUUAUCAUUAGUUGCCAUCAGGUCAUGCUGGGAACUCUAAUGAAACUGCCUACGC